GGCGAGUGAGCGGCAAAAGCUCAAAUUUGAAAUCUAGCACUUUCAGUGUUCGAGUUGUAAUUUGAAGAAGGUAACUUUGGUUUUGGCUCUUGUCUAUGUUCCUUGGAACAGGACGUCACAGAGGGUGAGAAUCCCGUGCGAUGAGAUGCCCAAUUCCAUGUAAAGUGCUUUCGAAGAGUCGAGUUGUUUGGGAAUGCAGCUCUAAGUGGGUGGUAAAUUCCAUCUAAAGCUAAAUAUUGGCGAGAGACCGAUAGCGAACAAGUACAGUGAUGGAAAGAUGAAAAGAACUUUGAAAAGAGAGUGAAAAAGUACGUGAAAUUGUUGAAAGGGAAGGGCUUGAGAUCAGACUUGGUAUUUUGCGUUCCCUUCCUUUUUGGUUGGGUUCCUCGCAGUUUACUGGGCCAGCAUCGGUUUGGAUGGUAGGAUAAUGACAUUGGAAUGUAGCUUUACUUCGGUGAAGUGUUAUAGACUUUGUUGAUACUGCCUAUCUAGACCGAGGACUGCGUCUUUGACUAGGAUGCUGGCGUAAUGAUCUUAAGCCGCCCGUCUUGAA
rnacentral:rRNA from 1 species